GGACGCGCGGCCCCCCCACCCGCGGCCCCGCGCGCCUCUCCCUGACACCACCCUCCGCGGCCCCCUCCGGACCCUCUGGCCCCCAAGACGCCCCUCCGGCCCUCCCCUAGGAGAGGGGGCCCUCGCCAAGUCUCCGCCUUCCUGCCCUCCUCCUGUCAAUGCCGCUGUCCAGAGCUCGCAGCCCUGGGAACGCCACUCCAGCGGGGCCUCCUUCUCCUGGGACCCCCUGGGCCCCACCCCCAGGACCUCCCACCUCUGCAAACCCCGAGUUUGCUUUUCCCAUCCACCGGGCAGCUCUUCUCCACGCCCACCUGGCUGGACCCGGGAAACCGAAGAAGUUAGUGGGGGUUCACCAGUAGGAAUCGGUAUGAGGGAGAGCCUGGAGGAGGAAAUGGGGAAAGGGGAAAUGUUCAGAAGGAAUGGAGGACAGCGAGCAGGGUAUUCGGGGAUGGAGGACCAAGUGUGUUUCUUUGGGAAGUGCUGGCAUGUAGGGGUGUGUGCUGUGUACCUGUGUGAAGGAUGUACGCAGAAUGUAGAGUAUGGGGUACGUGAGGGUGGUGUGUACGUAUGUGUCCUGUGGCGGGGAGCGGUGUGCAUUCCGAGAUGUGCGCAGGGUGAACACAGUGUACGUGCAAUGUCCAGGCGUGUGGUGUGCAAGUGUGUGUCUGUGUGUUAUGUGGUGAAUGUGCAGGAAAGGUGUCGCCUUGAGGUGUGGGUAGAGUAUUGUAGGUGCUGGGGGGUUAUGAAUAGGGUAUGCGGGAGAACUGGCUAGAGAUUUCUCUCAGAGGACCAGCCAUGGAGAAGGCCAGGAUGAAGUCUUGGGGAGAACCUCGGGUGAGUUCAGCUCUGAGUCCAUUUCCGUUUUCAGAUCUGGCAGACAAAUCCCUCACACUCAGGUAAAUAAAUUCGGCCUGUGCUCGAGUGCACGAGAAGGGAGAACGUUGUAGUAGCCCAGAUCUGGACUUGGACCACUGGAGGCCUCCCUCUGGCAACCCCGCCCUGGCCUGCAGUCCGGGGUGUGGGUGAUUCAGGCCGCCUGCGCAGCAGCUUCGGAACCGCGGGUUGCCUUGGCUGCGCCUUUAGCUGGGGCUGGGAGAAGCCGGGUCCGAGAGUCGGGAAGAGGGAGAGGUGGAGAGAAUGCGCCUGCGCACGAGUCUUUCCCACAGCAGGUUCAAGUCAGGAAAAGGCCUAGGGACUUUCCUAUUUUUUGCCCUUUAAAGUCAGAGACCCUUCCAAAACUGAGCGCUGUAUUGCCUGGGGAAGCCGCGCCUAUGUGUCCGAGGCAGCUCUGGGGUUCUUGCCCACCCUUCCGGGAAGCCGAUUGCUAGUGGGUGUAUGGAGGCUUUCCAAAGACUCCCGGAGGUUUGCGUGGGUUUCACUUCGGGCCAUAGCUUCAGAAAGAGCGAGCCUGCCUCUCUGUAUUUUUAGCAGGAGGAGCAGAAUUUGAAACAGCAGCAUACCGGUCCUGCGCCUGGUGAAGGAUGACUCGCCAGAAAGCAAAGGCACAGCCCUACCUCCGCGAGCUUGGCGCGUGGCCCAGGAGGCUCCGCGAGCCCUCGUACGUAAGGAUCGCGGCGCCCACGCUUGAGAGCAGAGCUCAGUGCAAACUUCCAACGGUUCUUCCAGUUUCCAGGGAAACGAGAUCUGGAGCUGCUGUGCGUUGCAGAGCUGCCUCUCUGCAACCCACAUGGGACCCCUGUGGCUGGCUGGUCUUGGGGAAGAAGGAGUUGAAGCCACCACAUCCAUGAAGGUUUUGUCUGGAGCCUGUCUGAUCCGAUGCAUUCAGUACUGAAAGCUUUCAGGAACAUUCUUUUACUCACUUCUCAGGACAACCGGUGAGGAUCCUUUCACCGAGGAAGAGCUCAUCAUGCUCUGUUGUGAGCCAUCCUCAACUUCCACUUGCAGAGUCUGCUUAACCUUCCAUGCAUGCCAAGGAGGGGACCCAGGGUAGCUGCGGUCUAGUCACGUGACCUGGAGGGUCAGAGGCAGGAAGGAGAGCAACUCCAGAAAGAACCACACCGGUGAGGGAUAACUUUGCCACUUUUCCAGGAAAAUGACAUCAUUAACUACUGUUCAAGUUCCUACAGAGGUCUGGCGGCCUUCUGGGGGCAGGUAUCACUCUCCCACACCAUCACCUUUUAAAUAUUUUAUUAACAUAUGUCUUAGUCUACCUUCUUUUACUGUAACUGAAUAACAUUUACAAAGAACAAUGGUUUAUUUAGCUAACACUUCAGAAGUGCUUGCAACUGUGAAGCCCUUGUGCUGUGUAUAGUAUGGUGUAAGGAAUGACUUGGCAAGACAGAGCAGCCAAAGAGCUUCUUCCACAACAAAACCGCUCAACCAAUUAUAUCCCAAAGGUUCCACCAAACACCAUGAGCAUAUGACUUUGGGGGUCACGUUUCUCGCCUGUGGAUUCUGGGGACAAGCGUUCAUGCAUCACAAGUAGCCAAAUAGUUGAAAUGUUCAUUGUUAAGCCUCACCCCCUCCCGACCCCCCUUUUUUUCCUAGGAACAGCCACGUUAAUCUGUUACUUCACACAGGCAGUGCAGGCAUCCUCUGUGCAAAACACCCAACGGUGAAUCUUCCAAAGAAUUCAUGAAACCGUAGCCGAGUUCUCAGAGACACAACAGUGUUUCUUACUAUGUUCAAAGUCUUAUAGAAUGUAACACAGAAAAUAUUAAAUAUACAAUGUGCUAUCUUCAUGGCAUAGAAACAAGCAUUUAUCUAACUUACGAAAGACAGAAGUGCCCGAGACACGGCCCAGGACCUGUCAGCCAACCAGAGCUUCUUCCUGCACUUGCUUAGGCAUUUGUAGAAGGAAUCUAUCCCAGCCGCUACAGCUGGUCUGGUUUGUUUUCUUUUGUUUGUUCAUUUGUUUUUAUUUUACAGAGAGUCAGAGAGCAUGAUUCUCCCUACCUGGCUUCUUUUGUUCCAUAAAUAAUGUUUGUGGAGCGUGUCCACGAUGCUGCGCACAGCCCUGGCUCACUCAUGGCUGGUAAUGAAACCCUGCAGCUGACCAGUUUCACUGCAUGAAUAGAAGCGUGACUGGAAAUGUGGCGUACGUUGGCCCUGUGGAUUCUCCUGUAAUAGCCCAAGCACAUAUUAUACCUCUUUCAGCUGAUCCCUCGAAAACUCAUCACUACUCAACCUGGUCUCCUCUGGAGUCUAAAUGAAGCACUUAAUGGGAAUCCACCUAAGCCUCCUCUGGCUUCUGUUUAUGACAGUAAAGAGUCCAGGUAAGUCAUGUCAGGGGUAGACAGAGCUGCCAGCUGCCCAUGUCUUAGCGAGAUCAGUGAGCUAUAUCUCCCAAGAGAGAAUUGUCAUUCUGCCUCUCUGCCAUGAGGACACUGCUGGACCACCUCUGCAGGAGCUUGCACUGAUGCUGUGCUAGAAAGAACAAAGACCCUUCUCUGCUUUGGUUUCCUUUAGAAAUGGUUCUGGCUCUGUCUCCCACAUACUCCAGCCUCCCACCACUCCAACUGGGGUGAACUUUCCUUCUACCUGUGGAACACAUCAAAUGGAGUUCUUGUGUUUCCUGUGUUCAUUUUCUCGUCUGAAAUCAUGCUGUUGCUGCUGUCUACCACACUAUGUCCUUGUAUUCCUAGACCUCCAAAACCAGGGCUGGACAGUCCAGGUGGAGCCUUUCUUCCUUAGCAGACGUAAGUAGACACAACCAUCCUGUAGGGCGAACAAGAGCUUGGUGGCUGGACAACCACUUCAGAUUUUCAAAUACACCCUCACAGAGAUGCUCAGGGAUGCUCACUGAAGUUUCAUCUGAGGCAGGGAGUCACAAGAAAGCAGAGAAGGAUGACCCCUGCCAAAACCAUGUUAGAGCAAAGGUGGCAGGGUCUCCCUUCCCUUGAAAUAACUCAAAUGCUGGACAGAGGACAGAAAGCAUGGUUUUCAAAUGCUAAUCAUGAAACAAGGCAAGACUGUGACAGAGAAUCAAAGAAAGCCUCCAGUGCCUCGUGUAACAGCUUAAGAGUUGCCAGCAAUGGUGCCAGCCGAGGAGCCCAGGCAGACUCAAAGAACUUCCCUGGGUUUAAGAGACAUGCUUGUGCUCAAGGGACCAAACUAAAUGUAUACAGGUUUGAUUUUUGUCAAUUAUGCUUCAAUAUAACUAUAAAAACUGGGGUAAAAGCACACUGUAAAAUACUGUCAAUCAGAAGUAACAAAGCUGUAUCUAAUACAUAACUCUAAGUGAGUAAAGAAUCAAUAUUGUCCAACCA